CUAUGAUUCUUGCAAUGGGAGAAGUGCUUGGUUUUGGGUUCUACCAUGUGGUGACCUUUCCCAGUAACAGUAGGGGCAGCAAGGCACAAAUCAAGUAGUUGCCAUCAAGGGUAAAAAGAUGGGGUUUUAUCAUUGGUUUGAGAUUAUCCCUCUACAUCAUGUCAUAUUGCUUAAGGCGUUACUCUGUUCUUAUGGACUUAAUACACUAGAUACAUGUUGGAUAG
rnacentral:lncRNA from 1 species